GACGAACGCUGGCGGCGUGCUUAACACAUGCAAGUCGAACGGAAAGGCCCUGCUUUUGUGGGGUGCUCGAGUGGCGAACGGGUGAGUAACACGUGAGUAACCUGCCCUUGACUUUGGGAUAACUUCAGGAAACUGGGGCUAAUACCGGAUAGGAUCUCCUGCUGCAUGGUGUGGGUUGGAAAGUUUCGGCGGUUGGGGAUGGACUCGCGGCUUAUCAGCUUGUUGGUGGGGUAGUGGCUUACCAAGGCUUUGACGGGUAGCCGGCCUGAGAGGGUGACCGGCCACAUUGGGACUGAGAUACGGCCCAGACUCCUACGGGAGGCAGCAGUGGGGAAUAUUGCACAAUGGGCGGAAGCCUGAUGCAGCAGCGCCGCGUGCGGGAUGACGGCCUUCGGGUUGUAAACCGCUUUCGCCUGUGACGAAGCGUGAGUGACGGUAAUGGGUAAAGAAGCACCGGCUAACUACGUG
rnacentral:rRNA from 1 species